rnacentral:rRNA from 1 species
AGCAGCCGCGGUAAUUCCAGCUCCAAUAGCGUAUAUUAAAGUUGCUGCAGUUAAAAAGCUCGUAGUUGAAUUUCGGGACCAUCAUGUCGGUCGUGCCUCGGUACGUACUGGCAUUGUUGGUUUCUCCCUUCUGACGAACCAUGAUGUCAUUAAUUUGGUGUCUUGGGGAAUCAGGACUGUUACUUUGAAAAAUUAGAGUGUUUAAAGCAGGCUCACGCUUGAAUACAUUAGCAUGGAAUAAUGAAAUAGGACGUUUGAUUCUAUUUUGUUGGUUUCUAGGAUCGACGUAAUGAUUAAUAGGGAUAGUUGGGGGCAUUAGUAUUCAAUUGUCAGAGGUGAAAUUCUUGGAUUUAUUGAAGACUAACUACUGCGAAAGCAUUUGCCAAGGAUGUUUUCAUUAAUCAAGAACGAAAGUUAGGGGAUCGAAGACGAUCAGAUACGUCGUAGUCUUAACCAUAAACUAUAGCCGACU